rnacentral:antisense_RNA from 1 species
CUUCACCGAGCCGAGCAGCAGCGGCGUGGACCGGUCCUGCCCGUACGUGGCCAGCAGCGCCUGCGCCUC